UACGUAGGGGGCAAGCGUUGUCCGGAUUUACUGGGCGUAAAGCGCGCGUAGGCGGAAGCCCAAGUCUGGCCUGAAAGCCCCCGGCUCAACCGGGGAGUGGGGCUGGAAACUGGGUUUCUUGAGGGCGAUAGAGGAGUGUGGAAUUCCUGGUGUAGCGGUGAAAUGCGUAGAGAUCCGGAAGAACACCGGUGGCGAAGGCGGCCUGCUGGGCAGUUGCUGACACUGAGGCGCGACAGCGUGGGGAGCAAACAGG
rnacentral:rRNA from 1 species